CUAAAUUCUUGACAGGGUCCUGAAGAAAAAGCUCCACAAAAGAACUUCAACUGCUUCAUGAUGUUGCUGAGACAGAAGAGCAGAGAGGACAGGCUCCUACGAGACAGAAUGAUGUGGUCUCAAAUGCCAGUAGUGUUGAGAUGGAGAAACCGUGUGCUACAGGGAUGAAAAAAAGAAAAAGCAACAGGAGGAAUGGAAAGCAGGAAAGAAUGAAGAAAGGGAGGAGGAACUGUUACCAGAUCCAGCCCACACUUAAGAGGAGGAUAAUACCCAAGGAUAAGAAUCAUUAGGAGCCACCUUAGAGACUGUCUAUCUACCAGGGAUGUAGAACACCUUUUUCUGUGCAUGUGACUUGGUG